ACAAGCAGCGGAGCGUGUGGUUUAAUUCGUUGCUACACGAAGAACCUUACCUGGGUUUGACAUAUAGGUUGUAGGGAACUGAAAGGGACCGACCCUUCGGGGAGCCUAUACAGGUGUUGCAUGGCUGUCGUCAGCUCGUGUCGUGAGAUGUUCGGUUAAGUCCGCUAACGAGCGCAACCCUCGUCGUAUGUUAUAUGUGUCAUACGAGACUGCCGGUAAAAGCCGGAGGAAGGUGAGGAUGAUGUCAAGUCAGCAUGACCUUUAUAUCCAGGGCUACACACACGCUACAAUGGUCUGUACAAUGGGUAGCCAAGCCGCGAGGCGGAGCCAAUCCUGAAAAGCAGGCCUCAGUUCAGAUUGCAGUCUGCAACUCGACUGCAUGAAGCCGGAGUUGCUAGUAACCGCAGGUCAGCAAUACUGCGGUGAAUACGUUCCCGGGUCUU
rnacentral:rRNA from 1 species